rnacentral:rRNA from 1 species
CGGACAGUAUGGGAGCUUGCUCCCUGAUGUUAGCGGCGGACGGGUGAGUAACACGUGGGUAACCUGCCUGUAAGACUGGGAUAACUCCGGGAAACCGGGGCUAAUACCGGAUGGUUGUUUGAACCGCAUGGUUCAAACAUAAAAGGUGGCUUCGGCUACCACUUACAGAUGGACCCGCGGCGCAUUAGCUAGUUGGUGAGGUAAUGGCUCACCAAGGCAACGAUGCGUAGCCGACCUGAGAGGGUGAUCGGCCACACUGGGACUGAGACACGGCCCAGACUCCUACGGGAGGCAGCAGUAGGGAAUCUUCCGCAAUGGACGAAAGUCUGACGGAGCAACGCCGCGUGAGUGAUGAAGGUUUUCGGAUCGUAAAGCUCUGUUGUUAGGGAAGAACAAGUACCGUUCGAAUAGGGCGGUACCUUGACGGUACCUAACCAGAAAGCCACGGCUAACUACGUGCCAGCAGCCGCGGUAAUACGUAGGUGGCAAGCGUUGUCCGGAAUUAUUGGGCGUAAAGGGCUCGCAGGCGGUUUCUUAAGUCUGAUGUGAAAGCCCCCGGCUCAACCGGGGAGGGUCAUUGGAAACUGGGGAACUUGAGUGCAGAAGAGGAGAGUGGAAUUCCACGUGUAGCGGUGAAAUGCGUAGAGAUGUGGAGGAACACCAGU